rnacentral:rRNA from 1 species
UACGGGGGGGGCAAGCGUUGUUCGGAAUUAUUGGGCGUAAAGGGUAGGUAGGUGGUCUCAUUUGUCUGGGGUGAAAUCCUUGAGCUUAACUCAAGAAGUGCCUCAGAAACGGUGAGACUAGAGUUCUGGAGAGGGUCGUGGAAUUCCCGGUGUAGCGGUGAAAUGCGUAGAGAUCGGGAGGAACACCAGAGGCGAAGGCGGCGACCUGGACAGAUACUGACACUAAACUACGAAAGCGUGGGGAGCAAACAGG